rnacentral:rRNA from 1 species
AACGAACGCUGGCGGCAUGCCUAACACAUGCAAGUCGAACGAGACCUUCGGGUCUAGUGGCGCACGGGUGCGUAACGCGUGGGAACCUGCCCUUAGGUUCGGAAUAACUCCCCGAAAGGGGUGCUAAUACCGGAUAAUGUCUUGGGACCAAAGAUUUAUCGCCUUUGGAUGGGCCCGCGUUGGAUUAGCUAGUUGGUAGGGUAAAAGCCUAACAAGGCGACGAUCCAUAGCUGGUCUGAGAGGAUGAUCAGCCACACUGGGACUGAGACACGGCCCAGACUCCUACGGGAAGCAGCAGUGGGGAAUAUUGGACAAUGGGCGAAAGCCUGAUCCAGCAAUGCCGCGUGAGUGAUGAAGGCCUUAGGGUUGUAAAGCUCUUUUACCCGGGAUGAUAAUGACAGUACCGGGAGAAUAAGCUCCGGCUAACUCCGUG